AGGGCAGUAGUACAACGGUUAGUACGGUGGCCUUAUAAGCCACUAAAGCGGGUUCAAUUCCCGCCUGCCCUA
rnacentral:tRNA from 1 species